GAGGAGCUUGCUCCACCCUGACGACGAGUGGCGAACGGGUGAGUAAUACAUCGGAACGUGUCCGCUCGUGGGGGACAACCAGCCGAAAGGUUGGCUAAUACCGCAUGAGUUCUACGGAAGAAAGAGGGGGACCCGCAAGGGCCUCUCGCGAGCGGAGCGGCCGAUGACUGAUUAGCCAGUUGGUGAGGUAACGGCUCACCAAAGCAACGAUCAGUAGCUGGUCUGAGAGGACGACCAGCCACACUGGGACUGAGACACGGCCCAGACUCCUACGGGAGGCAGCAGUGGGGAAUUUUGGACAAUGGGCGCAAGCCUGAUCCAGCUAUUCCGCGUGUGGGAUGAAGGCCCUCGGGUUGUAAACCACUUUUGUAGAGAACGAAAAGACAUCUUCGAAUAAAGGAUGUUGCUGACGGUACUCUAAGAAUAAGCACCGGCUAACUACGUGCCAGCAGCCGCGGUAAUACGUAGGGUGCGAGCGUUAAUCGGAAUUACUGGGCGUAAAGGGUGCGCAGGCGGUUGAGUAAGACAGAUGUGAAAUCCCCGAGCUUAACUCGGGAAUGGCAUAUGUGACUGCUCGACUAGAGUGUGUCAGAGGGAGGUGGAAUUCCACGUGUAGCAGUGAAAUGCGUAGAUAUGUGGAA
rnacentral:rRNA from 1 species